rnacentral:lncRNA from 1 species
AUAUCUUUGAUUUAAAAUUUUAAUGUCAUAUUAUUACAUUUUGUAAGAUUUUUAUUUUUAGCCGUUGAUUUUGAGCCCCUUCGUUCACUAGGCAAAUGAUAUCGUAAAAUCAUAAAAUUUAUUUUCUAGGUACUUCAAAUACUCUAAAUCAAGUUUAAUGAAGCCGAUCGACAAUUCGAAAGUUGCAACAUCGAAAACGAGCUGGAAGCACGGAAAGCUUCGUGCUUCCGAUAGCAUACUAGCCUCACUCUAUAUAUAUAUAGAGUGAGGUUACUAUGCUAUCGGAAGCACGGAACCUUCCGUGCUUCCAGCUCGUUUUCGAUGUUGCGACUUUCGAAUCGUCGAUUGGCUCCGUUAAAUAUGAUCUAUACUACUUAAAGUGUUUAGAAAUCAAAUUCAUACAUUUUCAAUAUUGUUCUCUUAUCCAUUGAGUAACACAAAAAUGAAUGGCGAAAAAUGAAUAUUUUUUAAAAAAUGAUGAUAGGAGUCUUCUAAUCAAGAUUAAGAGUAUAGAUCUUGUUUUAACUAGUUUAAAGAAUUUUCUAACAAAAAUUCAAUUAAUUUGGAUAUCUUUAUGCCGUUAAAAGAGAAAACGCCUCUUAUCGAUCAUUAAAAUUACAAAUUUGAAACCCUUUGAUCAUUAGACAAAUGAUGUCGAAAAAAUUUGAAAUUUGAUUUCUAAACACUUUAAGUGGUAUAGAUCAUGUUCAACGAAGCCGAUCGUUAAUUUGGAAGUUCUAUCAUCGAAAAUAAAUCGGUAGUAAAACGGCUCGUUUACUACCGAUAGUAUUCUAGCUCAACUAUAUAUAUAUAUAUAUAUAUGAGUGGGCUGGUAUGCUUAUGGAAGCACGGAGCCCUCCGUGCUUCCAAGUUGUUUUCGAUGUUCGGACUUUCGAAUCGACGAUCGGCUCCGUUAGAGUUGAUCUAGAGUAUUUGAAGUACUAGAAAAUAAAUUUUGUGAUUUUUCGAUAUCAUUUGCCUAGUGAUCGAAGGGGCCCAAAAUCAAUAAUUUUAACAACCGUGGUGAGCCGGUUGCAAGUUUAACGGUGUAGAAAUAUCCAAAUUACAUGAAAUUUUGAUAGAAAAUUCUUUAUACUAUAUAAAACAAGAUCAAUAACUUUGAUCUAAAAUUUUAAUGUCAUAUCAUCAUAUUUUGUAAGAUUUUUAUUUUCAGCCGUUGAUUUUGAGCCACUUCGAUCACUAGGCAAAUGAUAUCGAAAAAUCACAAAAUUAAUUUAUUUUCUAGAUACUUCAAAUACUCUAGAUCAAGUCUAACGGAGCCGAUCGUCAAUUCGAAAGUCCGAACAUCGAAAACAAAGUCGAAGCACGGAGCACUCCGUGCUUCCAUAAGC